AACGGUCCUUCGGGGCUUAGUAGAGCGGCGCACGGGUGAGUAACACGUGGGUAAUCUGCCCUCCGGCGGGGGACAACCACUCGAAAGGGUGGCUAAUACCGCAUACGUCGGUCGGGACUGCGGUCCUGAUUGGGAAAGCUGGGUUUCGGCCUGGCACCGGAGGAGGAGCCCGCGGCGCAUCAGCUUGUUGGUGGGGUAAUGGCCUACCAAGGCAGAGACGCGUAGCUGGUCUGAGAGGAUGAUCAGCCACACUGGGACUGAGACACGGCCCAGACUCC
rnacentral:rRNA from 1 species